rnacentral:lncRNA from 1 species
CUCGGGCAAGCAGAGGCGAACAGCACCCCACGGAAACGGGGUUGGUUGCCGGUGGCUUUUCAUGCCCGGCAGAAAGGCUGUUUGUUGCAUUCGUUAARCACGGCCCCUGCGACGAGGCCUUAAUGCCCCAGUGGGCAGAGCUGCCCGGCUGUGCGACGGACUCAGAGGCUGGGGCCCCAAACUCACGACUAAUGGCAGAAUCUGAAGAACCACACAACGCGUUAUGAACACAUUGAGCAGAGCAUCUCAUCUCAGCAGUCAACUCAUUGUAGGAGGACAAGAAGAUCUGGGAUCAUCUCCUUCCAACCUACGAGCACCAGCGAAGCUCUCUUCAAGCAUAAUCCCAUUGACAGAGUAAGAGGAACUGUUUGAAUGUGGCAAUGUGGAGCCGCAAGCUUUUUAAACAAAACAGUAGCUCAGAAAGCUUUACAGAAGCUCAUUCUAAUGAUUUA